rnacentral:rRNA from 1 species
GACGCGGAGGAUCAUUA